CGACCAGUAGUCGGGGAGGUGUGUCUCAGAAGGAAACGGAGGAAACGUCAGAAAAAACUUCUAAAAGAACUGCUUCAAGAUUAUUCCAAAAACACAACCCUUCAUGGACUGAGAUAUACUACUGAAAAGGGCCUUCAUAUUAUUGAAAAGAUAUUCUGGCUCGUCACGUUCAUUGUGAGUGUUGCGCUGUCCUUCUACCUGAUAUCAAAGGUCUGGAAUAAGUGGAAUACGUCUCCCGUUAUUGUCAGCUUUUCCGAUAGACAUGUCUUCGUUGAUAAGGUACCGUUCCCAGCGAUAACAAUUUGUCCUGCAAUAAAAUUUAAGAAGUUUAAUUACACGGAGAU